GUAGGAGCCGAGCUUGCUCGCGAUAGCGGUAUGUCAGCCAGCAUGACUGUUGACUGACACACCGCUAUCGCGAGCAAGCUCGGCUCCUAC
rnacentral:antisense_RNA from 1 species